rnacentral:rRNA from 1 species
UACGAAGGGGGCUAGCGUUGCUCGGAUUUACUGGGCGUAAAGGGCGCGUAGGCGGAUGUUUAAGUCGGGGGUGAAAGCCCAGGGCUCAACCCUGGAACUGCCUUCGAUACUGGACAUCUUGAGUACGGGAGAGGUGAGUGGAACUCCGAGUGUAGAGGUGAAAUUCGUAGAUAUUCGGAAGAACACCAGUGGCGAAGGCGACUCACUGGCCCGUUACCGACGCUCAGGCGCGAUAGCGUGGGGAGCAAACAGG